UAUCCUGUCUGAAUAUGGGGGGACCAUCCUCCAAGGCUAAAUACUCCUGACUGACCGAUAGUGAACCAGUACCGUGAGGGAAAGGCGAAAAGAACCCCGGCGAGGGGAGUGAAAAAGAACCUGAAACCGUGUACGUACAAGCAGUGGGAGCACAGAGCAAUCUGUGUGACUGCGUACCUUUUGUAUAAUGGGUCAGCGACUUAUAUUCUGUAGCAAGGUUAACCGAAUAGGGGAGCCGAAGGGAAACCGAGUCUUAACUGGGCGUUAAGUUGCAGGGUAUAGACCCGAAACCCGGUGAUCUAGCCAUGGGCAGGUUGAAGGUUGGGUAACACUAACUGGAGGACCGAACCGACUAAUGUUGAAAAAUUAGCGGAUGACUUGUGGCUGGGGGUGAAAGGCCAAUCAAACCGGGAGAUAGCUGGUUCUCCCCGAAAGCUAUUUAGGUAGCGCCUCGUGAAUUCAUCUCCGGGGGUAGAGCACUGUUUCGGCAAGGGGGUCAUCCCGACUUACCAACCCGAUGCAAACUGCGAAUACCGGAGAAUGUUAUCACGGGAGACACACGGCGGGUGCUAACGUCCGUCGUGAAGAGGGAAACAACCCAGACCGCCAGCUAAGGUCCCAAAGUCAUGGUUAAGUGGGAAACGAUGUGGGAAGGCCCAGACAGCCAGGAUGUUGGCUUAGAAGCAGCCAUCAUUUAAAGAAAGCGUAAUAGCUCACUGGUCGAGUCGGCCUGCGCGGAAGAUGUAACGGGGCUAAACCAUGCACCGAAGCUGCGGCAGCGACGCUGAUGCGUUGUUGGGUAGGGGAGCGUUCUGUAAGCCUGUGAAGGUGUGCUGUGAGGCAUGCUGGAGGUAUCAGAAGUGCGAAUGCUGACAUAAGUAACGAUAAAGCGGGUGAAAAGCCCGCUCGCCGGAAGACCAAGGGUUCCUGUCCAACGUUAAUCGGGGCAGGGUGAGUCGACCCCUAAGGCGAGGCCGAAAGGCGUAGUCGAUGGGAAACAGGUUAAUAUUCCUGUACUUGGUGUUACUGCGAAGGGGGGACGGAGAAGGCUAUGUUGGCCGGGCGACGGUUGUCCCGGUUUAAGCGUGUAGGCUGGUUUUCCAGGCAAAUCCGGAAAACUAAGGCUGAGGCGUGAUGACGAGGCACUACGGUGCUGAAGCAACAAAUGCCCUGCUUCCAGGAAAAGCCUCUAAGCAUCAGGUAACAUCAAAUCGUACCCCAAACCGACACAGGUGGUCAGGUAGAGAAUACCAAGGCGCUUGAGAGAACUCGGGUGAAGGAACUAGGCAAAAUGGUGCCGUAACUUCGGGAGAAGGCACGCUGAUAUGUAGGUGAAGUCCCUCGCGGAUGGAGCUGAAAUCAGUCGAAGAUACCAGCUGGCUGCAACUGUUUAUUAAAAACACAGCACUGUGCAAACACGAAAGUGGACGUAUACGGUGUGACGCCUGCCCGGUGCCGGAAGGUUAAUUGAUGGGGUCAGCGCAAGCGAAGCUCUUGAUCGAAGCCCCGGUAAACGGCGGCCGUAACUAUAACGGUCCUAAGGUAGCGAAAUUCCUUGUCGGGUAAGUUCCGACCUGCACGAAUGGCGUAAUGAUGGCCAGGCUGUCUCCACCCGAGACUCAGUGAAAUUGAACUCGCUGUGAAGAUGCAGUGUACCCGCGGCAAGACGGAAAGACCCCGUGAACCUUUACUAUAGCUUGACACUGAACAUUGAGCCUUGAUGUGUAGGAUAGGUGGGAGGCUUUGAAGUGUGGACGCCAGUCUGCAUGGAGCCGACCUUGAAAUACCACCCUUUAAUGUUUGAUGUUCUAACGUUGACCCGUAAUCCGGGUUGCGGACAGUGUCUGGUGGGUAGUUUGACUGGGGCGGUCUCCUCCUAAAGAGUAACGGAGGAGCACGAAGGUUGGCUAAUCCUGGUCGGACAUCAGGAGGUUAGUGCAAUGGCAUAAGCCAGCUUGACUGCGAGCGUGACGGCGCGAGCAGGUGCGAAAGCAGGUCAUAGUGAUCCGGUGGUUCUGAAUGGAAGGGCCAUCGCUCAACGGAUAAAAGGUACUCCGGGGAUAACAGGCUGAUACCGCCCAAGAGUUCAUAUCGACGGCGGUGUUUGGCACCUCGAUGUCGGCUCAUCACAUCCUGGGGCUGAAGUAGGUCCCAAGGGUAUGGCUGUUCGCCAUUUAAAGUGGUACGCGAGCUGGGUUUAGAACGUCGUGAGACAGUUCGGUCCCUAUCUGCCGUGGGCGCUGGAGAACUGAGGGGGGCUGCUCCUAGUACGAGAGGACCGGAGUGGACGCAUCACUGGUGUUCGGGUUGUCAUGCCAAUGGCACUGCCCGGUAGCUAAAUGCGGAAGAGAUAAGUGCUGAAAGCAUCUAAGCACGAAACUUGCCCCGAGAUGAGUUCUCCCUGACUCCUUGAGAGUCCUGAAGGAACGUUGAAG
rnacentral:rRNA from 1 species